GACGAACGCUGGCGGCGUGCUUAACGCAUGCAAGUCGAACGGAAAGGCCCUGCUUUUGUGGGGUGCUCGAGUGGCGAACGGGUGAGUAACACGUGAGUAACCUGCCCUUGACUUUGGGAUAACUUCAGGAAACUGGGGCUAAUACCGGAUAGGAGCUCCUGCUGCAUGGUGGGGGUUGGAAAGUUUCGGCGGUUGGGGAUGGACUCGCGGCUUAUCAGCUUGUUGGUGGGGUAGUGGCUUACCAAGGCUUUGACGGGUAGCCGGCCUGAGAGGGUGACCGGCCACAUGGGGACUGAGAUACGGACCAGACUCCUACGGGAGGCAGCAGUGGGGAAUAUUGCACAAUGGGCGGAAGCCUGAUGCAGCAACGCCGCGUGCGGGAUGACGGCCUGCGGGUUGUAAACCGCGUUCGCCUGUGACGAAGCGUGAGUGACGGUAAUGGGUAAAGAAGCACCGGCUAACUACGUG
rnacentral:rRNA from 1 species